rnacentral:rRNA from 1 species
UAGAGUUUGAUCCUGGCUCAGGAUGAACGCUAGCGACAGGCUUAACACAUGCAAGUCGAGGGGCAGCGGGGAGGUAGCAAUACUUCCGCCGGCGACCGGCGCACGGGUGAGUAACACGUAUGGAACCUGCCCGUAGCAGGGGGAUAAACGGAAGAAAUUCCGUCUAAUACCGCGUAAUAACUCCGAGAGGCAUCUCAUGGAGUUUAAAGGGUAACACCGGCUACGGAUGGCCAUGCGGCGCAUUAGCUAGUUGGCGGGGUAACGGCCCACCAAGGCGACGAUGCGUAGGGGUUCUGAGAGGAAGGUCCCCCACACUGGUACUGAGACACGGACCAGACUCCUACGGGAGGCAGCAGUGAGGAAUAUUGGUCAAUGGGCGCGAGCCUGAACCAGCCAAGUCGCGUGAGGGAAGACGGUCCUAUGGAUUGUAAACCUCUUUUGUCGGGGAGCAAAAGACGCCACGUGUGGCGUUCCGAGAGUACCCGAAGAAAAAGCAUCGGCUAACUCCGUGCCAGCAGCCGCGGUAAUACGGAGGAUGCGAGCGUUAUCCGGAUUUAUUGGGUUUAAAGGGUGCGCAGGCGGAAGAUCAAGUCAGCGGUAAAAUUGAGAGGCUCAACCUCUUCGAGCCGUUGAAACUGGUUUUCUUGAGUGAGCGAGAAGUAUGCGGAAUGCGUGGUGUAGCGGUGAAAUGCAUAGAUAUCACGCAGAACUCCGAUUGCGAAGGCAGCAUACCGGCGCUCAACUGACGCUCAUGCACGAAAGUGUGGGUAUCGAACAGGAUUAGAUACCCUGGUAGUCCACACAGUAAACGAUGAAUACUAUUUGUUCGGGGAAAAUGAUCCCUGAGUGAUACAGCGAAAGCGUUAAGUAUUCCACUGGGGAGUACGCCGGCACCGGUGAAACUCAAAGGAAUUGACGGGGGCCCGCACAAGCGGAGGAACAUGUGGUUUAAUUCGAUGAUACGCGAGGAACCUUACCCGGGCUCAAACGACACAGGAAUACUUUUGAAAGGAGGUAGCUCUACGGAGUCUGUGUCGAGGUGCUGCAUGGUUGUCGUCAGCUCGUGCCGUGAGGUGUCGGCUUAAGUGCCAUAACGAGCGCAACCCCCAUCGCCAGUUACCAGCAAGUCAAGUUGGGGACUCUGGCGAGACUGCCGGCGCAAGCUGUGAGGAAGGCGGGGAUGACGUCAAAUCAGCACGGCCCUUACGUCCGGGGCGACACACGUGUUACAAUGGCAGGUACAGAGAGAAGCAAUGCGGCGACGCAAAGCGGAACUUGAAAGCCUGUCUCAGUUCGGAUUGGAGUCUGCAACUCGACUCCAUGAAGCUGGAUUCGCUAGUAAUCGCGCAUCAGCCAUGGCGCGGUGAAUACGUUCCCGGGCCUUGUACACACCGCCCGUCAAGCCAUGGAAGCCGGGAGUGCCUGAAGUGUGCAACCGCAAGGAGCGCCCUAAGGUAAAACUGGUGAUCUGGGGCUAAGUCGUAAUCAAGGUAACCGUA